GAUCUGGAAACGGAAACCUUUCUAUCAGUACAUGCUCAACCGUCUCCUCCUUUACCACAAGAUUGGCAGAUACACCGUUAGAUCAAAAUCCAUUUAGGGGACUGAGAUUGAUCCUCUCUAUUUAUUAUUUUAUUUCAUAAACAACACUUGUAUCAUCUUCGUUCAAUAUAGAUGAUACAAGUGUAACUUUGGAACAUAAGAAAUAUUUGAUAAUAAUUUUGUCUUUUCUUUUCAGGAUUAAGAUGAUCAAUCUCUAAACAGAUUAAAAAGGGACGUUUAUGUAAAUAUAGAGGUAUAAUUAUGUGUAUGUAUAAAGAGACAGAAAGCAGCGGCCACACGAAUUACUAGAAGAACUAGGCGGGGCUUCGAUACCCUGCGUAGCAAGGCAAAAUAGUUAAGACACAGAAUUUAAGGAAGCGACAUCGAUGGCACCAUACUUAAAGUACUUUUUACAAGUUAACACAAAAAUAAUUGAAAUUUAUAACUCACCGACAUCACCGCCUCAAACUAUACUUGCAAUGUCACGCAACACCACAUGCACCCGUCGAUGGCCGAAUCUUCCACGCGAUUUCGUUCCUCCGUCUGGUCUUGUUGCUUGGAUAACGGCCCAGAAGAAACGAAAUCGUCGAAUGCUUCAGACACACGAUCAUCGGUUUCGAUGCAGUAAGCGGAUAUGCGAGGCUUUGCUGAAAAGCUCCUCACGAUUCCUCGAUACUCCUUAUUUUCUUUUUAUUUUUUUUUCUCUCUCUCUUAAAAAUAUUCUUAAGCCAACACACGCUUGUUACAGAUACGAAUGAUCGACAAAAAGCUGGUACGAUCAUCGUGUCUAAAACAACAACAGCAAAAGAAAAGAAAAAUAAUUCCACGCAUAUACACCUGGCAUCGUAUGGUGAGCUGUAAUCCAGCGUGACAAAUUGCAGGCUGCGAACUCACAUGCAUUGGCGUAGUCACGUUUUUGAACAAUGCUAUUCAAUCAUUCAUGAUGGUACCUCCCCUGCGUGGAAAGAAACAACCCCCAUCCCCAAAAAAAAAAAAAAGAAAAAAAAAAGAAAACACCCGAGUUUUCUUAAUAAAUACAUGUAGAAAACAUUGAGGGAAUACUUACACGAUACGCCGUGGAGAGAGGUCCCCUAAACCAUUAGGCUGACGGUCAGACACUGUUUAACCUGGCCGAAUAUCCGGUUUAGCGUUUCACUAAAUGCGUCUCUCCGGUACAUUUUAAACAUGCACGCAAUACCACCGCGCUCUGCUGACCAACACAACUCUGUGCACUCCCGGGCAGAGAGAUAACGACGGUUGUUCCACAAAAAAAAUGGACUCUUUUCAUUUUGUUUCUCUUUAAGCAGCUCACAGGUCGACACAUGACCUCCUCAUGAUUCCCCGUUUCACGAGCGAUACGUCUCCCCUCUGCUUUCUAUAUACAAUUGAAAACUUUCUGUCCAACGCGAGUAGAGAAUAAUUCGCUUGCUCGAAGAACCUUCUGUCGGAUAGGGAUUGUUCUUGAUACAGAGUUUAAUCCCGAUGAUUCAGACAAAAGUCGUAUCGAUCGUGUCGCAAGAAUCAUUCAGAAAUAUAGACAUUGUAAGAGAAUAGAGAGAGAGAGUGAGAGGGGGUGGAGAGAAAGUCGACAGUAUGAAGAGAAGAAAAGAAGGAUCUUUUGAUGAGUGACUCUAUAUGAGAAUGCGACAGACCUUGAUACGCUAUUUGAAGAUCAUCAAAAGAAAAGUUAACGUUUCUUUGCCUCUUUAUUAUUGUCAAUUCAGUUCAAUUGAUCAAUAUCCAUGAAUUUGUUUUGACUUUCAAACUGUUACAAUGUAAUAGAUUGCUCUAGCGGGCGUUCUUGUAUCGAAGCAUCUUCCACGAGAAGUUUAUUUUAUCAGAACAGACUCCAGGCUUUUAAGAGAAACUGCUAAUCAAAUUAUAGGGUGAAAAUUGGGUCGAUCGAACGUUUCUGGUAUCAUGUUUCAUACACACAUACAAGUACACACAAACAAUAGAGGAAACCAUUAGUCAACGAUAGUUUGUUGAUGGAAAACGUUCGAUCAACGCUAUGGAAAUAGCUCGUGAAGUCUGCUAUCUCUCAAGAUCAUCAGUUCGUUUAGAAACUUUCUUUGUAAUUGAACGAUGGUACAUGUAAAUGAUUAGAAACGUCUGCUUAGAAAAAAAUUUGUAAGUAUUAAACGUGGUAAGAUCAUGAUGCAUGGAACAAUAGUAACGUGCCUACAAACACGACGUGGAUCGUGCAAGAAAACCAGAAGAUUGUUCAUUUCCAAAUUCUAAUUAGUUACAUGGUUGAUCAACUAAAUUUGUACUUUGUACUACUUUCACCUUUAGUGUUUGAACCGUAGAUGAAAAUAUUUAACAUAGGAAAACGAACCACGUCGUACUGUAAAUGCAAUAAAAAAAGUAUUACUACUUGCUUACACGUAAGCAGAAUUGGCCGAAGGAUCAGCAAGUCCAAUUAAGUAGAAAAUGUUGCCUUUGAAAAUCGAGCAGCAAAUGCUACUGAUACAGCAAAUUUCAAUAACUUGUGAAAACGAAAAUAUUGCCUCUGAAACUACACCUCGUGCCCUUUUCAUUCAGCCUUGCGAUCAAGAAUCUUAUUUCGAUGAAAAAUAACUAGCUUAUCCAGAAAAGAAGUCUCAAUUCAAUUUCUCUUUAUUAAGAUAGAAUUUUAAGGCAGUAACAAUAAUUUUAAAAGAAUUUUUUCCAUUGAAACAAGAAAGACUUGUAAAUGAUUCCUUUUUUUUUUUUUCUUUCAGAGAGAUAGUGGCCUCAUUUGGAUCAAUCGAUAAGCAGUUGUACAUUCUCGACAUCAAUGUUCUUCUAGCGAGCCGUUUUAAACCUCAAAUCUAUUUGUUAUUGUAUAACACUUGUGUAGGUAUGUAUGUCAUCAUGCACGUAGUACUAGGUGAUCAGUGAAGUGCUCGAUCUACCUUGUGUAUGCUACUAAUUGUAAACUACUGACUUGAGGUCAACUCAGUGAGAACGUAGUGCUACGUCAUAAGUAUGCUAAUUAAUAAAUUGCAGUGUAUCGUGUACUGUCCAAGUAAACGUUACGCGAAGGAAUUUAUAUGUAAUCAAUUUCUAAUUGAAUUUAAUUCAACAGUGAGGACAAAGAAUCGACUCGCAUGAAACAUCAUCGGUUGUCGAGAUUCGUGAAGAAUAUAAAAUAAAGAACAAGAUGUAACUGGGGGGACAGAGAAGCGAACGAGCAAAAGCUCUAGGCUCAAGUGUAAAUGUGGUCCGUGUUUGUAAUGUGUAUGAGUAACAGGAAGAAAAGAUAAGUUUGUACAUUUUGUACAUUGCAGACUAGCAAGAAAAAAAAGGGGACAGAGAAUUACAUAGAACUGUAACUGAAUAGUAGAGCAAGAAGAUAAAAACCAAGUCUCUAGUCUUUUCAUGUACACUUUAUGUUUUACCAACAAAUUUGUACUUCUAAUUAUAAACGAACAUUGUUAUAAAAAAAAAUGAAAAAACUAGAGAUAAACAAAUAUCAUAGAAAAAGAAGAGAAACAGUGUAAAGACAGAAGAAGGAAGCAUUUUUGCAGCAAAGAGGACUGAUUGCGAACGUUAUCACACAAAGAGCAAGUAAAAAAGCUUUAACAGUGAAAUGUAAAACAGAAUAGAUUAGAGUAAAGGUAAAAAGAAAAAUCAAUAGACAGACAAAAACUCUGUACGUAUGUGUGUCUGUUGUGCUUGCAUGUGUUUGUAUAAGUGACGUCUAUUUAGUAUACAUUGAGUAACAAACAGAUAGAUUAAGAAUAGGCAGACAGACAGACGGACAGACGGACAGACAGACAGACAGACAUAGUAAAAGAUUAGAAUUAGCGAAAGUGAGAAAGAUAGAGCAGAGAGGAGCGCUUACAGCUUGGUCUGUCGAACUCUUGCUGUAGGGUACUGGUAUCAAACGUUCCUGCAACUCGCCACCUAUUACCUUCAAGAGCAAAGGAUAAUAUCAUGGUUAUAACUGAACGCAACGAGCAGUACGCGCUUAGCAGUACACCACUUCUCGAUAAUCAGUUUAAUUAAAUUCGUUUUCUUUAAAUAUUUGUCCGAAAUUUUUAACAACACCGUUACUAUACCUUUUCGGCACCUUUUAACUAAUGAUACUUGGUCUCCUUUGUCAAUCUAUUUCUUAACUGUACUGCUCUAAUUAUAAACAAUUUCAUUGACAUAGAUCACUUUGUGUAAAAGCAAUAUUUCAUAAAGCUAAAAAGUGCCUGAAUAUCCAUAAUCACCAAAAGAAGAAACUGUACAUUAAAACUAGAAACCCUCCAUAAUAUGUAUUAUAAGAUUAUAUUCAUGUGAGAUUAGAUGCAUGUAAGUCAGCGAAAUUCGAUUGUUAUGAAUUGUGUGGAGAAAAUGAAAGUAAAAAAAAAAAACAAAUUAACAGAGAUUCAUAUAAGCAGAAACCGAGAAUAGCUUUGUAACAUGCAACGCAAGAUAAUAACAUUUUCGAAAUUU